rnacentral:rRNA from 1 species
AGGGGAGUAGAGAUAUGGGUAGAGGUGCAGGGAGCCUUCGGGUUCUCAACUUAUUUCCAAACUUCGAACCUCCUUGUUAGGCAUUUACCUAACUGGAAAUGCUUAAAUGAAUUAGCGUUACAAGUGGGCUCUGACCGGUAAGCGGUCAUGGCGAAAUGGGAUGAACCAUACGUCUGAAUAAGGUGCCGAAAUGUACUAUCACUGAUACCAUAAAGGGAGUCCAUGUAUUUAGACAGCAGGUCGGUGCCCCUAAAAGCAGGUAUCCGCUAAAGAGUGUGUUAAAACUCACCUGCCGAAUACUAGGGCCCCGAAAAUGAAUGGCGCAUAUAGUACUACCGAUCUCAGACAUCAGUUCUAUUGAACUGAGAGUAGGGGGAUGUGGACAUUUUUGUGAAGGUGCAAUGUGAGUUGGACUGGAAGAAUGUCUAUUACAGAUCCUAAUUGAAGUAGCGAUUAUCCAGGCUUGUAUCCUGGGGGCUGAUGAGGAGUAGGGUUUCUGGACAACUUAAACAGAUCCAGAGUUAGUCGAUCCUAAUCUCAAUAAUGGGAGAAAGGGAGUACAGUUGAUAUUCUGUAACUGACAACAGUUCGCGGCAACGCAUACUAUUUUUCUCCGCCAAUCUUAUACCGUUGGUAGGGAUCUCUUUCCUACAUGACAGUACUAAUACCCAGGGAAACUGGUCAUCAGGCGAACUGCGGCGUUCUGCUGGCAAAACAUAGCUUCGGUUAUGUCAAUGGCUAUUGGAUUGGUCCAUGAAGCGAAAAAUAGUUUACUGUGUCACUCGUACCGAUAACCGCAUCAGGUCUUCUAGGUAAGUAGCCUAUGGCCAUUGAGGCAUGAUAGUUCAGGGAAUUCGGCCAAUUAGAGCUGUAACUUCGGGAUAAAGCUUGGCUCUGAUGAAAAUCAGAACCGAUUGUUACGCGGAGAGCCCAACUGUUUAAUAAAAACGUAGUGUCGCGCUGUGGUAGUAUAGCCAGUGAACGCGACAUGAUCCUGCUCAGUGCUGUGUCUGUAUAUGGUUCAAGCCAACGAAGCACCGGUAAAUAGCU